rnacentral:piRNA from 1 species
UNGGAGCUGGAAUGGUGAUCAGGGUUUGG